rnacentral:lncRNA from 1 species
GUCGCCUAUGAGAUGGUAGGAGGGAAAAUAAUGUACUAACCUACCCCAAGAGAAUGGACAAGGAGGCCCUUCAGUCAGGGCUCUAUGCCAAGCACUUAAAAUUAAAAGGGCCUUUGUCCUCUUGAGGUGCAAGGAAAGUUAUAUUGGACAAAACCAGGGGCGACACAGCCAGAAACCUUUGGCCAAUCUCUGCCGAAAGAUUCCUUUCCGGCCAAGGUGGUUGAGCACCGGUCAUGAGCUCGAGCAAGCUCAGCAGGAUCCCUGGGGAGCACAGGUACCACCCUUGGACGCCAGGCACAGGAGAAGGCGGGGUGACUCGCUGGGCCUUGAAGAGUUGCCGUCUUUCAAAAGUUCCAGGUCGGCCCAGGCACAAACACUGACGUGAGCAAAAACUUGCAUCGAGAAACAAACUGCAGGCUGGGGACAUUGUGAAAGAUCACAGAUGUCCGGACCAGAGAAACUGGGACUUAACGUCCCAGACAACACUGAAGGUUUUAGUGGCAAAGGAACACAAUCAGAGCAGUGUUGGGAAAACCCGUCUCUUAUUUACUACCCACUGUCUGUUGGGCACAUUGCCGGGCAUUGGCUCUUUUCAUUACUGCCCUUACUGGGACCAGCAUGCUCAGUCUCGUGCACAGCCAUUUGGGAGGUUUUCAGCGUGGGAAGUGUUGCUGUGGAGGAAAGACACUCUAAGAAGGAACAGAGCGUGCUUCCCCGCCCAGCGCCUCCUCCCUGCCAGCAGACCCAGCUUGGUUCCAUGUACCUCCAUCCAUAGAUGAUCAAUGCACUCUGUAAAGUGCUCUGAGGAAGAGAUACAGAGACGCGUUUCAAGUUCUCCUGGAAACAGCCAGAGAUGGUGGCUGUGGUCUGAGCCAUCUUCCUUUUGUCCCCAGGGCUAACUGGACAUAUCAGUGAUUGUCUUCACCAGAAAUCAGCCAACUGCCUAGGAAAAUUUCCAUGAACCCAUUGUCAAGGGAUUUUUUAAAAGUCAACUAGGGGGGCGCCUGGGUGGCUCAGUCGGUUAAGCGUCCGACUUCGGCUCGGGUCAUGAUCUCACGGUCCGUGAGUUCGAGCCCCGCGUCGGGCUCUGUGCUGACAGCUCAGAGCCUGGAGCCUGUUUCAGGUUCUGUGUCUCCCUCUCUCUCUGCCCCUCCGCCACUCACGCUCUGUCUCUCUCUGUCUCAAAAAUAAAUAAACGUUAAAAAAAGAAACA